rnacentral:rRNA from 1 species
UACGGAGGGUGCAAGCGUUAAUCGGAAUUACUGGGCGUAAAGCGUGCGCAGGCGGUUUGUUAAGUCCGUUGUGAAAGCCCCGAGCUCAACUUGGGAAUUGCAGUGGAUACUGGCAGGCUGGAGUACGGUAGAGGAAGGUGGAAUUCCCGGUGUAGCGGUGAAAUGCGUAGAGACCCGGAGGAACACCAGUGGCGAAGGCGGCUUCCUGGUCUGCGACUGACGCUGUGGCGCGAAAGCUAGGGGAGCAAACGGG